rnacentral:rRNA from 1 species
AUACGUAGGGGGCGAGCGUUGUCCGGAAUGACUGGGCGUAAAGGGCGUGUAGGCGGCCGACUAAGUCUGGAGUGAAAGUCCUGUUUUCAAGGUGGGAAUAGCUUUGGAUACUGGUUGGCUUGAGUGCGGAAGAGGUAAGUGGAAUUCCCAGUGUAGCGGUGAAAUGCGUAGAGAUUGGGAGGAACACCAGUGGCGAAGGCGACUUCCUGGGCCGUAACUGACGCUGAGGCGCGAAAGCGUGGGGAGCGAACAGGAUUAGAUACCCUGGUAGUCCACGCGGUAAACGAUGAAUGCUAGGUGUUGCGGGUAUCGACCCCUGCAGUGCCGGAGUCAACACAAUAAGCAUUCCGCCUGGGGAGUACGGCCGCAAGGUUGAAACUCAAAUGAAUUGACGGGG